GUUGGGGGCUUCGGCCUCCGGAGUCAGUGAUGGGAUCCAGGGGCUGGGCAGCGCCUUGUCGUUGUCCUUGCUUGCAGGCCCUGUAGUGGUCCUGGGUCGCGUAUCCUCGGGGCCGUUCCCUGAGGCGGUCUUGGGCGAGAAGGGGUGGAGGGACCGGCUCUUGAUGGCUGCCUCCUUCUCCAGGAAGCCCCCAUCUGGUUCUGUGCCGCUCAUCCUGCUGCGCAUGCCUGGGCACCCCCCUCCUGCUUCUCAUCUGCCUUCGUCUGCAGGGCCAGUUCCUUCUGGCCCGAAGUGUAUCCAGGAUUGCCUCACGCUCAUUCAGGUAGACAUCUGUGGAAAGAGGCAGCAGCAGUCGGAGUCCUUGACGUCAUCCCUGGCUCCGUGGAACGUUCUGGGUGGUGUAGCUUGAGACCCCGCUGUGUCUUCUCACGAUGGUGCUCCCUUAGCUGCCAGCUGUUCUGUGGCAAACCCUCCAGAUAAGUCCCUUUCUUGAUACCAACUACUGGUUCUCGUACAUCUGUCCCACGCACCAGUUGGGUAUCAUAAUAUCGUAAAGUCUCCUGAAAACUUCAUAAUAAAUGUGUUUGAUUUUU